GAUGAACGCUGGCGGCGUGCCUAAUACAUGCAAGUCGAGCGAACGGACGAGAAGCUUGCUUCUCUGAUGUUAGCGGCGGACGGGUAAGUAACACGUGGAUAACCUACCUAUAAGACUGGGAUAACUUCGGGAAACCGGAGCUAAUACCGGAUAAUAUUUUGAACCGCAUGGUUCAAAAGUGAAAGACGGUCUUGCUGUCACUUAUAGAUGGAUCCGCGCUGCAUUAGCUAGUUGGUAAGGUAACGGCUUACCAAGGCAACGAUGCAUAGCCGACCUGAGAGGGUGAUCGGCCACACUGGAACUGAGACACGGUCCAGACUCCUACGGGAGGCAGCAGUAGGGAAUCUUCCGCAAUGGGCGAAAGCCUGACGGAGCAACGCCGCGUGAGUGAUGAAGGUCUUCGGAUCGUAAAACUCUGUUAUUAGGGAAGAACAUAUGUGUAAGUAACUGUGCACAUCUUGACGUUACCUAAUCAGAAAGCCACGGCUAACUACGUG
rnacentral:rRNA from 1 species